CAAAUUAGAGCUUGAUAAAGCAUUUCAUUUACAUUGAAAAGAAAUUAUAGUUAAAUAAUUAAUUUGA
rnacentral:tRNA from 3 species